rnacentral:rRNA from 1 species
AUUGAACGCUGGCGGCAUGCCUUACACAUGCAAGUCGAACGGCAGCGGGGGAGAAGCUUGCUUUUCCUGCCGGCGAGUGGCGAACGGGUGAGUAAUACAUCGGAACGUGCCCUGUAGUGGGGGAUAACUAGUCGAAAGAUUAGCUAAUACCGCAUACGACCUGAGGGUGAAAGUGGGGGACCGCAAGGCCUCAUGCUAUAGGAGCGGCCGAUGUCUGAUUAGCUAGUUGGUGGGUAAAGGCCUACCAAGGCGACGAUCAGUAGCUGGUCUGAGAGGACGAUCAGCCACACUGGGAAUGAGACACGGCCCAGACUCCUACGGGAGGAAGCAGUGGGGAAUUUUGGACAAUGGGCGAAAGCCUGAUCCAGCAAUGCCGCGUGUGUGAAGAAGGCCUUCGGGUUGUAAAGCACUUUUGUCCGGAAAGAAAUGGCUCUGGUUAAUACCUGGGGUCGAUGACGGUACCGGAAGAAUAAGGACCGGCUAACUACGUGCCAGCCGCCGCGGUAA